UUAAAUGUGUUCAAAAAUAAAAUAAAAAGUAUACAAAUAUGAUUGUUGAUUUGAAAAUGAAAUAAAAAUGUAAGUGCAUCAAAGAGAGUGUGAAUGAAAGGUGUGAAAACACAUGGGAUGCAUAGUGGUCUAUAGGGAGUACAAAUAGCAUAAUAUGGGUGUGAAUAGUGAACUUCUUAGCGCAACACUAGUAAAAAAAAAC
rnacentral:lncRNA from 1 species